AUUGGUAUUGAUGUAUCCUCCGGACAGUUAAUUCAAUAGCCAAGUGUAUUUGGGUAUGUAUGGCUGAUAGUAGAAAAAAAGACUGCAAUCUUCUUCAGGCUUCACUGUACAGAAAAAAAAAAAAAAAAAAAUUAAAAAAAAAUAAAAAGGGGAGGUUGUGUCACAUUUUUAAAGCCUGGCGUUUGAAAUACAUGUUGUACGCAAUUUGCACCAGCUACUGCCAUAAAUAACACUUCUCCCCUAGAAACUUAUUGUAGCUAAAGUUGGAACCCCAAACUUUCAGCUAUUUCCUUUACUUCUCUUCACUCUGACCUUCAGAGCCUUACAAAGGAUGUCUUCUGAAAACUUGUUUUUUUUCUCCUCUGAAACACUUUGUCAGAAUGAAAUCUAUCCGCUAGCUCUAUAAGUCAAGGCAGCUUUUACCAGUAUAGUUACUGCAUUGCUCAUCUAAUGGACUGCUGUGUAAGUGGGACGAUAUUCUAAAAUACUGGGCAUUUCCUGUUUUAUAAGUGAAGUGUGUUAGACACCACUCACUGUAUUUCCCAACUGUUGGUUUCUUUUAUAAUGAUAAUAGCAGCUUUAGAAAAGUUAUUUGCAGAUACUACUUUCUUUCUUUUUUUCUGUUUUUCUGUCACAGUCUUGCUCUGGCAUUACCAAUUUGGAAAGCAACUGCAGCCUAAAAAGCAAUCAUUUGCAAUGACAUUGGAACAUACAGAGAAUUUUAAAAGGUGCCUCUAUUGGAGAUUGCUAUGUUAAAAAAAAAAAAAAAAAAAAAAAAAACUGAAAUGAAAAGCCACUUACCUUUCUUUCAAAGUUUCACAACAAAUGCGUCCUUGACAAAUGUGUGGAGGGUAACUACAGAAGGAAAAGUUACCUUAGCAAAGCAAGAACUAAGCUGCUUGAAAUGAGCUAUAGCACUGCACUGCAAGUACUUGUGAGUGGAGUGGGGGAAUGGUGUUUAGAGCCAGCCAUUCCUUAUGGGCGAGUUCUCCUUGUGGUCCUCUGUAGAGCUAGGACCUUAAAAACAAGUGGAAAGGCAUCUGGGAAGAUGUGUCAGCCCAAUAACCAUUUCUGGGUCAAAAUCCUGAUUGCUAUCCCCUGGCCAGGGCAGCCUUUUGGAGCUGCACUAUCAGAGAAUGGGGUUGCAGGACCAGAGAACCACUACAAGGUUUCAAGUGUGAAUAUGAGACUUCCUGAAGAUAUGCCCUGCCUGCAGCAGGUACAGCUGUUUUUAAUGUGGUUGAAAUAUUAUGAAAGGCCCUUCACUCAAGCCAUCAGUGAACUUCCUCAGCAGGAGAGAGGCAGAGCUGGUGGGCUGUGGUGGUCGUCAUCAGAUGUGAGCUCCAUCAAGGACAGGAGCUGCACCAAAGGAGCUAGUAAUGUUCUUCCCCUUUGGCAACCAGAAGGAAUCUGUAAUAUGCAAGUGCUCAGCAAGAGUGGAAAUGAAGGGUUGAGUCACAAUCUGGGCCCCAGGCACGAGCCCUUCAUAGAAGUUGUCUUUAUGCACCUUGCAACAGCCUCUGAUGAACCUUAUAAAGGAUUUAGCUCCCCUCAAGCAGUGCGGUUUCAGAACAGACCACCUGCACGGUAACUAAGAAAAACAGUUCAAAAACACAGCAGGGAUUGGUGAAAGAUAACAAAAUCAUCUGAAAAGCCACGCUAAAAAAUAAAAUAAAAAUGUUUAGGAGUGGGAAGAAAAGGUCUUCAGUUGAUUCAGUGUUGCCCAUCAAGUCGGAAAUGCCUAUGACAUUUUGGAAAUGCCGACAGCUUGAGGAAAUGAAGAAACUUGCCAUGAUCUCAGAGUCCUGCUUGGCCCAGCAGGGACGGAAGCAAAGGCCCUGCAACAUGGCAGGAAUUGUCAAGACCUGGGUCCUGCAGGGGGACUGGCCCACGGAACAAAUCUGAGUGGAUUUACAGCUAUUUGAAACACUUGAGGAGAGCCAAGUGUUUUUAGCUGGAGGCUUGGGUCUGCAGGAAGGACUCCUGGCUCUUCCCUGUGAAUCAGCUUGCCUCGGAGCUAGCAGACCGUGCAGGUUUUCGUGGGGCCUGCCUGCAGCACAAGGAGCAUGCUGUGAGCGCACACUCAGGUGGCAGCAGGCCCAGCCAAACUGUGGUGCCACUGGUACAAGGCUUCCAGAAAGCUUUUUGAUCUUGAUACUCAGCAGGAUGAAUGAUUCAAAUCUCCACAUUUUUUACAGGUCCGCUGAGUUCCUCACCACCCAGGCCUAUUCAUUCCUAUCUGGAGGGUAGACUUUCUUAACAGCGUUCCCAAAAUACCCAUGGUGGGGCUGGAGAGCUGGUUCUGAGAACUCUCUAAAGACAGAGACUUCAGAGGACUUUCUGACAUCCUUCCACAGCUGUGCCAGCCCAAGCUAGCUCUGCAGCUCCUACUAUCAUUAAAAAUAAAAUAAUUUAAAAAAUGUUUUUCCUUUGCUUCAUCUUUCUGACAGAUCUGUGCGUUAGACUGGGGGUGCUCCCAUUGUUGCAAGGAGCCAGAGGAAGAGCCGCAAGCCCUGGUGGCACACAGCUGGCAUCCAGAGCCAGUGUGUGCACAGGGAUGGGAGCCUGCAGAGCCCCUUGACAGCCUGCUGUGCUCUGGGGGAGGUUUUCUCCAUGUGGAGUCCGAGAUGGGCAGUAUUUUGAAUGAUGCAUAAUAAUGGCACUGUGGCCAUCAGGGCGAAUUCUUGCCUUGCUGCAAGAAAAUGGUUGUGAAAUCCUGCUACUAAAUUUAGGGGGAAAUUUCUAUGUCGGCUGAGCUUCUUGGUAAGUGUGUUAGAAAUGAUUGCCCAAGUUGUGAGCAGAAUGAGCAGUGACAUUACAAAAGCCGAGUGACUGCUGUGUGCUAUCUGUCCCUACCUGACCUCCUUCACAUCUCUCUGAGAAACACAAAAAUUUCAGGGGUGCAUCUGUGCCUUCAGUGAAAUGCCUCACAAAUGAAACUAAGCAGAGCCCUCACUUCUGCCCUGGGCCCCUGCAACACCCUGUCACCCCCCCCCCUCUUUUGGGAUACCUCCCAGCUAAAGAUACAGCUGUGUCCUGGUUCGCUGUGCAGGCAGGAUGCUGCUCAACACCAUGCAUGGCUGGAGAAGUGCCUCCUUCCUUGGAGAUCUUCAAAAGCCCCCUUGACAUCGUCCUGGGCAGGUGUCCUUGCUUGAGCAGGAGGGUUGGACCAGAUGAUCUCCAGAGGUCCCUUCCAACCUCUGCCCUUCUGUGAUCCUGUAAAGUGUCCUGAGCUCCUGCUGCUGGAUGCUGAAGAGACCAUGGGAUGUCUGAGACAGCACUGAGGCUGGGCCAGCAACAGCCUCUGCAUUGCCUUAUCACAGGGAGAAACCUGCAGGUACCAGUGUGAUCCCUGUGAAGCUGCCCAGGGCUGGGAGAUGUCCCUCAUCAGGGAACAAUAUCCAGUGACAGACACUGCACAGAGGCCAAGAAUCAGUUGGACAAAGUCACGCUUAUUAUUUCCAUUUGCAGGUGUGAUUUGAUGCAGCAGUCAAGAUAUGCUGGGUCACACCUGUAGGCCACAGUGGCAGUUUACAUUAGGAUAGGAUAACAGCAUAUUCAGACUUUUUUUCAAUGUGAUAGUUCUGAAGCUAUUGAUUUUUUUCCCCCAUAAUAACAUUUAUAACACUGCAGUGACAAACAAUUUCUACCCUAAUUUCUAACACCAUGAUUUACCUAGUAGGUAUUUUCUAUAAUACAUGGAUUUAUAGCAGUUUGCUAUGCUUCCCUUUUGGAGCACUUAGUUUUUUAAUAUCAUUAGCCUAAUAUUUAGUCAGAAUAUAAAUUUUAUGAUCCCAAUAAAAACUAAUUAUGAUGUGGCACUCACCUCAUAAGUCAGUACGUGUCAGUCCUCCGAGGCAUUACAGAUGCUAUCACCAGGCUUGAAGACAGUUAGACACAGUCAGUUGCAGCACAGCACCAACAGAAAGAUGUACAAAGCUGAACCUCACCCUUAGGUGAGAGCUAUUUAAUGAAUGGCCUCUCAGUGUUAAAGCUUUUGUAUGUACUGGAAAGAGUAUGCUAUUCAGUCCAUGUUUUUAUUGUGCUUAGGAACCAAUCUUAAAUGGUACUGGGUAGAAAGGAAGUUUUCAGUUGUUUUGCCUCUGUUGCCUGCCUCUCCUUUUCCCCUCUGUGCCUCUGUUGCCCUGCUCCCAUUCCCUUCCUAGCCCUAGAUGCCAGCUUCCUCC
ensembl:lncRNA